UACGAACCGUGCGAACGUUGUUCGGAAUCACUGGGCUUAAAGGGCGCGUAGGCGGGCGGCCGCGUCCGGGGUGAAAUCCCACGGCUCAACCGUGGAACGGCCUCGGAUACGGGCGGCCUCGAGGGGGGUAGGGGCGUGCGGAACUCUGGGUGGAGCGGUGAAAUGCGUUGAUAUCCAGAGGAACUCCGGUGGCGAAGGCGGCACGCUGGACCCCUUCUGACGCUGAGGCGCGAAAGCCAGGGGAGCGAACGGG
rnacentral:rRNA from 1 species